rnacentral:lncRNA from 1 species
AUUUUGUGUAACACUUUGCUUGUCUAAUUCAUAUACCAUACAGUUCGUGCAGCUGCUACAAGACCCUGACAACUUCCCAAAAGGAUGCGUUCUCCUAAGUUGAGGUUUAAGUGUGAAAGAAGAAAAGAACAGCUUAUGUAAAGUAGUUCUAGAGGAAGUUUUAAAAGCAGUCUUGACUUUGUGCCACCAUCCACUGAUGAAAAGAAUGGAUAUCUUGCUGCAACAAAUGGCAGGACGAAUUGAAGCAAACAUGAACCAGUUCCUGAGCUGAAGCACUCACAGUCAAGCACAAUAAGGCAACUGAAAAU